rnacentral:ncRNA from 2 species
UAACGAACGGAAGCGAUAAAGGACUAUCUGUAUAUGGGCACUUGGGUAGUCUGGAGCGAGUAGUGCAACCGACCAGAAUCUGA